rnacentral:rRNA from 1 species
GAACCUACGGGAGGCAGCAGUGGGGGAUAUUGCACAAUGGGCGAAAGCCUGAUGCAGCGACGCCGCGUGAGGGAUGACGGUCCUAUGGAUUGUAAACCUCUUUUGUCGGGGAGCAAGGCCCGCCACGUGUGGCGGGAAGGAGAGUACCCGAAGAAAAAGCAUCGGCUAACUCCGUGCCAGCAGCCGCGGUAAUACGGAGGAUGUGAGCGUUAUCCGGAUUUAUUGGGUUUAAAGGGUGCGUAGGCGGAAGGUUAAGUCAGCGGUCAAAUGUCGGUUCUCAACACCGGCCUGCCGUUGAAACUGGG